rnacentral:rRNA from 1 species
GGGUUGUGAGGUUAAGCGACUAAGCGUACACGGUGGAUGCCCUGGCAGUCAGAGGCGAUGAAGGACGUGCUAAUCUGCGAAAAGCGUCGGUAAGGUGAUAUGAACCGUUAUAACCGGCGAUGUCCGAAUGGGGAAACCCAGUGCAAUUCGUUGCACUAUCGUUAACUGAAUACAUAGGUUAACGAGGCGAACCGGGGGAACUGAAACAUCUAAGUACCCCGAGGAAAAGAAAUCAACCGAGAUUCCCCCAGUAGCGGCGAGCGAACGGGGAGCAGCCCAGAGUCUGAAUCAGCUUGUGUGUUAGUGGAACGGUCUGGAAAGUCCGACGGUACAGGGUGAUAGUCCCGUACACCAAAAUGCACAGGCUGUGAACUCGAAGAGUAGGGCGGGACACGUGGUAUCCUGUCUGAAUAUGGGGGGACCAUCCUCCAAGGCUAAAUACUCCUGACUGACCGAUAGUGAACCAGUACCGUGAGGGAAAGGCGAAAAGAACCCCGGCGAGGGGAGUGAAAAAGAACCUGAAACCGUGUACGUACAAGCAGUGGGAGCACCUUUAUGGUGUGACUGCGUACCUUUUGUAUAAUGGGUCAGCGACUUAUAUUCUGUAGCAAGGUUAACCGUAUAGGGGAGCCGCAGGGAAACCGAGUCUUAACUGGGCGUUAAGUUGCAGGGUAUAGACCCGAAACCCGGUGAUCUAGCCAUGGGCAGGUUGAAGGUUGGGUAACACUAACUGGAGGACCGAACCGACUAAUGUUGAAAAAUUAGCGGAUGACUUGUGGCUGGGGGUGAAAGGCCAAUCAAACCGGGAGAUAGCUGGUUCUCCCCGAAAGCUAUUUAGGUAGCGCCUCGUGAAUUCAUCUUCGGGGGUAGAGCACUGUUUCGGCUAGGGGGUCAUCCCGACUUACCAACCCGAUGCAAACUACGAAUACCGAAGAAUGUUAUCACGGGAGACACACGGCGGGUGCUAACGUCCGUCGUGAAGAGGGAAACAACCCAGACCGCCAGCUAAGGUCCCAAAGUCAUGGUUAAGUGGGAAACGAUGUGGGAAGGCACAGACAGCCAGGAUGUUGGCUUAGAAGCAGCCAUCAUUUAAAGAAAGCGUAAUAGCUCACUGGUCGAGUCGGCCUGCGCGGAAGAUGUAACGGGGCUAAACCAUGCACCGAAGCUGCGGCAGCGACACUAUGUGUUGUUGGGUAGGGGAGCGUUCUGUAAGCCUGCGAAGGUGACCUGUGAGGGUUGCUGGAGGUAUCAGAAGUGCGAAUGCUGACAUAAGUAACGAUAAAGCGGGUGAAAAGCCCGCUCGCCGGAAGACCAAGGGUUCCUGUCCAACGUUAAUCGGGGCAGGGUGAGUCGACCCCUAAGGCGAGGCCGAAAGGCGUAGUCGAUGGGAAACAGGUUAAUAUUCCUGUACUUGGUGUUACUGCGAAGGGGGGACGGAGAAGGCUAUGUUAGCCGGGCGACGGUUGUCCCGGUUUAAGCAUGUAGGCUGGUUAUCCAGGCAAAUCCGGAUAAUCAAGGCUGAGGUGUGAUGACGAGGCACUACGGUGCUGAAGUAACAAAUGCCCUGCUUCCAGGAAAAGCCUCUAAGCAUCAGGUAACAUCAAAUCGUACCCCAAACCGACACAGGUGGUCAGGUAGAGAAUACCAAGGCGCUUGAGAGAACUCGGGUGAAGGAACUAGGCAAAAUGGUGCCGUAACUUCGGGAGAAGGCACGCUGGUGUGUAGGUGAAGUCCCUGCGGAUGGAGCUGAGACCAGUCGAAGAUACCAGCUGGCUGCAACUGUUUAUUAAAAACACAGCACUGUGCAAACACGAAAGUGGACGUAUACGGUGUGACGCCUGCCCGGUGCCGGAAGGUUAAUUGAUGGGGUUAUCCGUAAGGAGAAGCUCUUGAUCGAAGCCCCGGUAAACGGCGGCCGUAACUAUAACGGUCCUAAGGUAGCGAAAUUCCUUGUCGGGUAAGUUCCGACCUGCACGAAUGGCGUAAUGAUGGCCAGGCUGUCUCCACCCGAGACUCAGUGAAAUUGAACUCGCUGUGAAGAUGCAGUGUACCCGCGGCAAGACGGAAAGACCCCGUGAACCUUUACUAUAGCUUGACACUGAACAUUGAGCCUUGAUGUGUAGGAUAGGUGGGAGGCUUUGAAGCGUGGACGCCAGUCUGCGUGGAGCCAACCUUGAAAUACCACCCUUUAAUGUUUGAUGUUCUAACGUUGGCCCCUUAUCGGGGUUGCGGACAGUGUCUGGUGGGUAGUUUGACUGGGGCGGUCUCCUCCCAAAGCGUAACGGAGGAGCACGAAGGUUAGCUAAUCCUGGUCGGACAUCAGGAGGUUAGUGCAAUGGCAUAAGCUAGCUUGACUGCGAGCGUGACGGCGCGAGCAGGUGCGAAAGCAGGUCAUAGUGAUCCGGUGGUUCUGAAUGGAAGGGCCAUCGCUCAACGGAUAAAAGGUACUCCGGGGAUAACAGGCUGAUACCGCCCAAGAGUUCAUAUCGACGGCGGUGUUUGGCACCUCGAUGUCGGCUCAUCACAUCCUGGGGCUGAAGUAGGUCCCAAGGGUAUGGCUGUUCGCCAUUUAAAGUGGUACGCGAGCUGGGUUUAGAACGUCGUGAGACAGUUCGGUCCCUAUCUGCCGUGGGCGCUGGAGAAUUGAGGGGGGCUGCUCCUAGUACGAGAGGACCGGAGUGGACGCAUCACUGGUGUUCGGGUUGUCAUGCCAAUGGCACUGCCCGGUAGCUAAAUGCGGAAGAGAUAAGUGCUGAAAGCAUCUAAGCACGAAACUUGCCCCGAGAUGAGUUCUCCCUGAGACUUUAAGUCUCCUGAAGGAACGUUGAAGACGACGACGUUGAUAGGCCGGGUGUGUAAGCGCAGCGAUGCGUUGAGCUAACCGGUACUAAUGAACCGUGAGGCUUAACCUUACAACGCCGAAG